rnacentral:rRNA from 1 species
AACGAACGCUGGCGGCAUGCCUAACACAUGCAAGUCGAACGAGACCUUCGGGUCUAGUGGCGCACGGGUGCGUAACGCGUGGGAACCUGCCCUUAGGUUCGGAAUAACUCCCCGAAAGGGGUGCUAAUACCGGAUAAUGUCUUCGGACCAAAGAUUUAUCGCCUUUGGAUGGGCCCGCGUUGGAUUAGCUAGUUGGUAGGGUAAAAGCCUACCAAGGCGACGAUCCAUAGCUGGUCUGAGAGGAUGAUCAGCCACACUGGGACUGAGACACGGCCCAGACGCCGACGGGAGGCAGCAGGGAAGAAUAUUGGUCAAUGAGCGCAAGCCUGAACCAGCCAAGUAGCGUGUAGGAAGACGUACCUAUGGGUUGGAAACUGCUUUGAUACGAGAAUAAUUUGAUGCACGGGUGCGGUAUUGCAGGUAUCGUAUGAAUAAGGACAGGCUAAUUCCGGG